rnacentral:rRNA from 1 species
CGGUUAAGUUAGAAAGGGCGCACGGUGGAUGCCUUGGCACUAGGAGCCGAUGAAGGACGGGACAAACACCGAAAUGCUUCGGGGAGCUGUAAGUAAGCGUCGAUCCGGAGAUGUCCGAAUGGGGGAACCCACUGUCCGUAAUGGGGCAGUAUCCAUACCUGAAUCCAUAGGGUAUGGAGGGCA